rnacentral:rRNA from 1 species
UUCGGCCCCGGUACAGUGGCGCACGGGUGAGUAACACGUAGAUCAUCUCCCCUCGAGUGGUGGAUAACUCUCCGAAAGGAGAGCUAAUACAGCAUGAGACCACGGCUUCGUUGAAGCUGCGGCCAAAGCAGGCCUCUACAUGUAAGCUUGCGCUUGAGAAUGAGCCUGCGGCCCAUCAGCUAGUUGGUAGGGUAAUGGCCUACCAAGGCUAAGACGGGUAGCUGGUCUGAGAGGAUGAACAGCCACACUGGAACUGAGACACGGUCCAGACUCCUACGGGAGGCAGCAGUGGGGAAUCUUGCGCAAUGGGCGAAAGCCUGACGCAGCGACGCCGCGUGAGCGAUGAAGGCCUUCGGGUUGUAAAGCUCUGUGGGGAGGAAAGAAUAAGGCUUGGCUAAUAUCCAAGCUGAUGACGGUACCUCCUUAGCAAGCACCGGCUAACUCUUGUGCCAGCAACCCGCGGUAAGACAGAGGGUGCAAACGUUGUUCGGAAUUACUGGGCGUAAAGCGCGUGUAGGCGGCCCUGCAAGUUCGGGUGUGAAAUCCCAUGGCUCAACCAUGGAAAUGCACUC